rnacentral:lncRNA from 1 species
UGGCCAGUGUCUAUAGAUGAAGACAAACUCAGCUCACACAGCAAGUUCCCUAAAGGCUUGAACUGUCAUUUGUUGCAGCUGCCGGACCUGGUGUAGUGUUCUGUUCAGGGUGGUGCUGGGUACAUAGGGAAGGAGAGGCAUUCACCUCUUGGGCUUUGCCUUGACUUUGGGUUCUGUCAUCCUUUACCAGACAUGGUGACUAAUCAUAGCUUUCUGUCUUUGCCAGUCACAGCUCUCUCUGCAUUCUAGGUACUGUGCUCUUCCUGGCCUCCUGAUGCUGAGUCUGGUUACCCAGACAAUCCAAAGACAUUUCUGGCAGCCUACUUUCUCCAUGAACACAUCUUGGAUCUUCAGUUGACACAUGUCAUUUGCAGCUGUUCACUAUCCUCGCAGUGGCUGUGGCUCUGAGCUCAGAAGAUUGAGAACUUUUGGAUUUUCUCCUUCAUUAAUCUCACUCAGCU